UGUAAUUUUUGAAACAUAGAAAGGAAAUGCGAUUACGUUGAGGUUUUUAACCAGGAAACUGUUCAAAAAGCGAGGAAUGUUAUCGGGAAUAACAUAGUGGAAAGCGCUCAAGGGGGCCGGAAACUCUUACAUAGGAGAGCCCGCUUCCAAGUGUGAAUAUGACGUAAAUCUGUCUACUGGGCAGCACAGACGAGCAGGGGUAGGCGGUCUUACAGAUGACACAACAACAACAGCAGCAAACACCCCGAGUUCAACAGGCUUUACAUAUCUAACCGCAUUUUGAUAAAAACCAUACUUUUUUUGCAUCGUUAGAAUGACUUUUUGAUCG